rnacentral:rRNA from 1 species
AACGAACGCUGGCGGCAGGCUUAACACAUGCAAGUCGAACGCCCCGCAAGGGGAGUGGCAGACGGGUGAGUAACGCGUGGGAAUCUACCCAGAUCUACGGAACAACAGUUGGAAACGACUGCUAAUACCGUAUACGCCCUACGGGGGAAAGAGUUAUCGAGAUUUGGAUGAGCCCGCGUUGGAUUAGCUAGUUGGUGGGGUAAUGGCCUACCAAGGCGACGAUCCAUAGCUGGUCUGAGAGGAUGAUCAGCCACACUGGGACUGAGACACGGCCCAGACUCCUACGGGAGGCAGCAGUGGGGAAUAUUGGAAAAUGGGCGCAAGCUUGAUCCAGCCAUGCCGCGUGAGUGAUGAAGGACUUAGGGUUGUAAAGUUCUUUCACCGAUGAAGAUAAUGACGGUAGUCGGAGAAGAAGCCCCGGCUAACUUCGUGCCAGCAGCCGCGGUAA